rnacentral:tRNA from 1 species
GUUUAACCCCCUCCUCUACUA